rnacentral:pre_miRNA from 1 species
ACAACAUACGUACCAUCGGUCUACCGAGCAAUUUCAUCCGCUCGGUAAAAGAUCUUCCUUCUGUCGU